rnacentral:rRNA from 1 species
AUUGAACGCUGGCGGCAGGCCUAACACAUGCAAGUCGAGCGGCAGCGGGAAAGUAGCUUGCUACUUUUGCCGGCGAGCGGCGGACGGGUGAGUAAUGCCUGGGAAAUUGCCCAGUCGAGGGGGAUAACAGUUGGAAACGACUGCUAAUACCGCAUACGCCCUACGGGGAAAGCAGGGGACCUUCGGGCCUUGCGCGAUUGGAUAUGCCCAGGUGGGAUUAGCUAGUUGGUGAGGUAAUGGCUCACCAAGGCGACGAUCCCUAGCUGGUCUGGGAGGAUGAGCAGCCACACGGGAACUGCGACACGGUCCAGACUCCUACGGGAGGCAGCAGUGGGGAAUAUUGCACAAUGGGGGAAACCCUGAUGCAGCCAUGCCGCGUGUGUGAAGAAGGCCUUCGGGUUGUAAAGCACUUUCAGCGAGGAGGAAAGGUUGAUGCCUAAUACGUAUCAACUGUGACGUUACUCGCAGAAGAAGCACCGGCUAACUCCGUGCCAGCAGCCGCCGUAAAAC